UACAGAGGGUGCAAGCGUUAAUCGGAAUUACUGGGCGAAAAGCGUGCGUAGACGGUCAUGUAAGUCGGGUGUGAAAGCCCCGGGCUCAACCUGGGAAUUGCAUUCGAGACUGCAUGGCUAGGAUGCGGAAGAGGGAAGCGGAAUUUCCGGUGUAGCGGUGAAAUGCGUAGAUAUCGGAAGGAACACCAGUGGCGAAAGCGGCUUCCUGGUCCAGCAUCGACGUUCAGGCACGAAAGCGUGGGGAGCAAACAGG
rnacentral:rRNA from 1 species